UUUGCCUAAUACAUGCAAGUCGAACGCUUCUUUUUCCACGGAAGCUUGCUCCACCGGAAAAAGAGGAGUGGCGAACGGGUGAGUAACACGUGGGCUAACCUGCCCAUCAGAAGGGGAUAACACUUGGAAACAGGUGCUAAUACCGUAUAACAAUCAAAACCGCAUGGUUUUGAUUUGAAAGGCGCUUUCGGGUGUCGCUGAUGGAUGGACCCGCGGUGCAUUAGCUAGUUGGUGAGGUAACGGCUCACCAAGGCCACGAUGCAUAGCCGACCUGAGAGGGUGAUCGGCCACAUUGGGACUGAGACACGGCCCAAACUCCUACGGGAGGCAGCAGUAGGGAAUCUUCGGCAAUGGACGAAAGUCUGACCGAGCAACGCCGCGUGAGUGAAGAAGGUUUUCGGAUCGUAAAACUCUGUUGUUAGAGAAGAACAAGGAUGAGAGUAACUGUUCAUCCCUUGACGGUAUCUAACCAGAAAGCCACGGCUAACUACGUGCCAGCAGCCGCGGUAAUACGUAGGUGGCAAGCGUUGUCCGGAUUUAUUGGGCGUAAAGCGAGCGCAGGCGGUUUCUUAAGUCUGAUGUGAAAGCCCCCGGCUCAACCGGGGAGGGUCAUUGGAAACUGGGAGACUUGAGUGCAGAAGAGGAGAGUGGAAUUCCAUGUGUAGCGGUGAAAUGCGUAGAUAUAUGGAGGAACACCAGUGGCGAAGGCGGCUCUCUGGUCUGUAACUGACGCUGAGGCUCGAAAGCGUGGGGAGCAAACAGGAUUAGAUAUCCCUGGUAGUACCAAACGCCGUAAACGAUGAGUGCUAAGUGUUGGAGGGUUUCCGCCCUUCAGUGCUGCAGCUAC
rnacentral:rRNA from 1 species